GAUGAACGCUAGCGGCAGGCCUAACACAUGCAAGUCGAGGGAGAAGCCUUUCGGGGCAGAAACCGGCGCACGGGUGCGUAACGCGUAUGCAACCUACCUUUUACAGGGGGAUAGCCCGAAGAAAUUUGGAUUAAUACCCCAUAAUAUUGUUGGAUGGCAUCAUCUGAUAAUUAAAACUGCGGUGGUGAAAGAUGGGCAUGCGUCCUAUUAGCUAGUUGGAGUGGUAACGGCACCCCAAGGCUACGAUAGGUAGGGGUCCUGAGAGGGAGAUCCCCCACACUGGUACUGAGACAGGGACCAGACUCCUACGGGAGGCAGCAGUGAGGAAUAUUGGUCAAUGGUCGGAAGACUGAACCAGCCAUGCCGCGUGCAGGAAGAAUGCCUUAUGGGUUGUAAACUGCUUUUAUAUGGGAAGAAUAAGGUGUACGUGUACAUUGANGACGGUNCCA
rnacentral:rRNA from 1 species